CUGAAACACCACUUUACCUGAGAUGGAAAAAAGUUCUCAUCACAUAACCAUUUUCAGUCAGAUGACUUAUGAACUCCAGUUAUCUUACUCCAUAAAGAGACCACUGCUCUAAAGCAAGAAAGAAUUCUAUUAGCUGGUAUGGAUCAGCCUGUGAUCACGUGCUCAGAUAACUGCAUUCUUUGGAACAUGGAAGAAUGGAAAAGUCUUUCCUAGACAACUUUUACAGGCAACUCAAGUCCCUUGGAAGCACCCACUAUUUAGCACAUGGAGCUUAAGCUGAUUCUUCAAGAUGAUUUUAUCUUUUUCUGUGUCCUGAAUUUUAACAGCUACUCAGAUUAUUAAACUAGUAAAACUGCAUACUGGAAGUCAGCCAGAGCAACAAGGCUGUGAUAAUGUGUUUUCUUACUUCCCACAAGUGUUAGAGAUUUCAGUUUUUAUCAACAAUUCAAAACAUCAGCUUUCAAUUUAGCUGUGACAUCUCCAAACACUAAAAAAAUCCUGCUGUUUUAAACUUCUGCUGUUAAACUGUUUUAAUAUUCAGCUUUCUAACAAAGAUUUUUUUUAGCACAAACUAAAAUACUAAGGCUGUUUGGUGAAGUUUUUUUGUCAUUUAAAAAAAAGGAUUUACUGAAUGUGAAGCUGAAUUUCUGCAUUUAAAGAUAAAUUUGAUGAAUAUUAUUAUACACAGUCUCAAGGUUAGAUUACAGUUCCAUCUCUGGCAUAGUAUAAACAGCCUGAAUUUCCUUAGUUACCCUUGAAUAUGAGUAGAACCUAAUAAUUCCACAGAUGUCGCCAUUAACUGCUAAAACACAUCUACAGCUAAAAACGUACCAACUUCUGAUAUUAUAAACUUAAAACCUGAACAACCUGAAUUAAUUGUUCAUGCACAUGCAGAUAAAAAAUAUGACACACUGUGGAAAAAGAGGAAUCUUAGAAAAAAGGCAAGAUAUUCUGAUCAUGCUUCAGCUUUUCUAAGCAUUAUACAGUAUUUUUUCCUUCUAUAAGGAAAUUAUUUGUAAAUUUUAAAUGUAUAAUU